CUACGGCCACAUCACGUUGAAACACCGGUUCCCGUACGAUCGCCGAAGUUAAGCAACAUCAAGUCGGGUCAGUACCUAGAUGGACAACCUCUUGGGAAUAUCAGAUGGCGUAAG